UGACUGGGAUGAUCACUCGGUUGUCUGACACACUCAACAAUUUUCUUUUUUUUUUUUAGAUCAAAAGCGGGGAGACAGGAACCUAACACGACCGUGAUUAAUAACUUUGUGGUCUUCGGAUCCCACUAA
rnacentral:pre_miRNA from 1 species